rfam:Caryophanon tenue strain DSM 14152 DSM_14152_R1_001_contig_10, whole genome shotgun sequence.
UGACUGCGAUGAAGCGAGAGGUUGCUGACACACCCGGCCGCUUUGCCAUGGCGGAUGUAUCGGAGAAUUUUCGUGGAGAAUGUCUAGUAAAUAGGCGAGAAGGAGGGAAAAUUAUGGCAA